GGUGGGGACGGAAGGGAGGGACACAGGAAGAGGGAAGAGAAGAAAGUCCUGCAGGCUUGAAGCGAAGAGGCUUGCGGUGGAAAAGACAACGCUCUUUCUCCAGGGUCCGGCUAAGCCAGUUCAAGGGCACCCUCGGCUUCUUGAGACCCUGGGCAGUGAGGAGGGAAGGAAUUAUGGGCACCGACCACAGUGCUGGGGAUUGAAUCUAGGGCCUCUUGCAAGCAAGGCAAGGGCUCCGUCACUGAACUACAGCCCCGUGCGCCCUCCCCCAGAGGACCCAGAUUUGAUUCCCAGUGCCCACAUGGUGCCUCACAACCAACUGUAACUCCAGUUCCAGGGUAUCUGAUGCCUUCUUCUGAUUUCCACAGGAACGAACAGCAGGCUCCAAGCAAAACACACCUUUCCUUUAUAUACAGCAUAGUUCUCAUUUCUCUGCGGGUGAAAGUCUUGCUCAGCCUUCAAGCUAUAAUUCAGAUAC